UCUAUAAUUAGACUAGUUACAUUAACAUAAUAUCAGAUGGAUAAAGACACAAUCUAUAAUUAGACUAGUUACAUUAACAUAAUAUCAGAUGGAUAAAGACAUGACACAAUCUAUAAUUAGACUAGUUACAUUAACAUAAUAUCAGAUGGAUAAAGACACAAUCUAUAAUUAGACUAGUUACAUUAACAUAAUAUCAGAUGGAUAAAGACAAGACACAAUCUAUAAUUAGACUAGUUACAUUAACAUAAUAUCAGAUGGAUAAAGACACAAUCUAUAAUUAGACUAGUUACAUUAACAUAAUAUCAGAUGGAUAAAGACACAAUCUAUAAUUAGGCUAGUUACAUUAACAUAAUAUCAGAUGGAUAAAGACAUAAUCUAUAAUUAGACUAGUUACAUUAACAUAAUAUCAGAUGGAUAAAGACACAAUCUAUAAUUAGACUAGUUACAUUAACAUAAUAUCAGAUGGAUAAAGACAAGACACAAUCUAUAAUUAGACUAGUUACAUUAACAUAAUAUCAGAUGGAUAAAGACAAGACACAAUCUAUAAUUAGACUAGUUACAUUAACAUAAUAUCAGAUGGAUGAAGACAAGACACAAUCUAUAAUUGGGCUAGUUACAUUAAGAGUAAACUAAAUAUCAGAUGGAUAAAGACAAGACACAAUCUAUAAUUAGACUAGUUACAUUAACAUAAUAUCAGAUGGAUAAAGACAUGACACAAUCUAUAAUUAGGCUAGUUACAUUAACAUAAUAUCAGAUGGAUAAAGACACAAUCUAUAAUUAGGCUAGUUACAUUAACAUAAUAUCAGAUGGAUAAAGACAAGACACAAUCUAUAAUUAGGCUAGUUACAUUAACAUAAUAUCAGAUGGAUAAAGACA
ensembl:lncRNA